ACCUACUGUUUAAUUUUGAGGGUUCGUUUUUACGAAUACUCAAAAUUAGCACUUUAAGCAACGGGAUUUAUCCGUUGGCGCUGUGCGUUAGCACUUUGAAAACUUCACAUAUAUGUAUAGUGAUGUGCCGUGUAAUGUGUUAUGUAUCAAGCUGGGGCGAUUUUGAAAUGAUGGAACAUGAUAGCGUCUAAUCUAUGCGAACCUCGGGAAUUGGUCUAGUUGGUGAGGUCGCAGCGCGGAUGCCGUGUCACUCGUGUUUAAUUGAGCGGGUUCGUUUUUAGGAGUACUCAAAAUUAGCACUUUAAGCAGCGGGAUUUAUCCGUAGGCUCUGAGAAUUCGCACUAUACGCAACGGAAUUUAUUCGUGGGCGCUGUGCUUUCGCACUGUGAAAACCGCAUAUAUAUUUAGUGAUAUGACAUCUAAUUUGUAAUAUAUAAAGCUGAUAACUUUUUAAAAUUAUCGAAGUUGAUAGCUUCUAAUCUAUCAAACCUUUUUAACUGGUCAA
rnacentral:misc_RNA from 1 species